rnacentral:tRNA from 1 species
CCAUGGCUCAAUUGGAUAGAGCAUCUGACUACGGAUCAGAAGGUUGAGGGUUCGAAUCCUUCUGGGC